rnacentral:lncRNA from 1 species
AGCUCUCCAUCCUCCUGUUUCAGCCUCCAGAGUGCUGAGGUUACAGGGUCCCCCCUCCUUCUGCUCUGCUGGCGCUCGACCCAGAAGGCAGAGUCUCUCAAUCAAGCCAGAGCCCACCAUUUGGCUGCCUUAAUCAAUCACAGUGAGAGGCAUAUCUGUGAAGUGUGCAGCCAAGGUCCUUGGAAGGUCCUGGAGGCGAAGUUGGAGAGGAAGUACUGGCCUGAGGCCAAGGGCAGCAAAGAGUGAAAAGGGGCCGGGGACAGUGUACAGAGCAGUGGCUGGCUUGUCUCCACUAUCAGACUUUACUCCAGGAGGAGGCAGAGGCCGUGUGAGAGCCGUGCCGCUUCACCUGGCUCCUGACCUAUAUUGGAAGUGACAAACACGGGCUCCGAAAUGCUUACAAGGCACCUUGCCGGCAAGCACUGUGAAGUGAAAAUGAGACUAGAUGCUGAGCAAGUCCCACAAACUGUGUGCCCAAGCUCUGGACAGAGCAGAUAGACACAGUCUUCCUCUGAACUAUGCUUGCUGCAGUCCCUCCACCAGCAUGGAGAAGAAGCUCACAAGGACUGUCCUUCAAGCCUAUAUCCAUGCUCAGCUGUGCCAGCAUCUCUGGGCCUCAGGAACACCGAAGUCCUCAUUCUGAGCCAGGUAGGCCCACACAUGUCCCAGACGGUUACAUUCCUUCCUGGCUAGAGGCUUUUGUCACCCCAGGCUGUUGUGGGAAGUUGCCAUCAGGAGCAUCUAAAGACCUGUGACAGGAAAUUGGAGCUGCCAAUCUCUUAGCAAUCGGGGUACAGUUUUUUUCCUGCACUGCAUCUCAGGAAGUGAUGGUAAGUGCCCUGGAAUCACAGAGGUCCUGUAUGUGCUCCAUAUUACCAGUCAGAUCCAGCUAAUGCAAGGACCACGGCAGUGAAACUUUCCAUAUGACAAAAGCAAUUUUCCCCGGCCCAGCCGAUGGCCCACUUAUUUCAACGAUAUUCAAUGUGCCCACGGUGAUAGCUCUCUUAUCCCAGCACUCUGCUCGUUCAUUGUCCGUCCUCGUCACGCUGUAAGCACUUGUCAUCUUAUGCCAGUCCCUGGUGUUUGACACUUAUUCUUCCUGCCUUCCUGCCUGCAUGAAGACAUCCUCAAGGCUGUACAAAGCUAGUCUUUGCUUCAGAGACAGGGACCUAGAGUGGCCAGGCCUUCAUCAGUUCCCACUCUGAAUGCUUUCAUCCCCAAGUGCCAGCCACCUGGGAGAUGCAGACACCACUCUUGGGCCUCACAGGAUGGUGCUAGGGGCAGACAAGGAGACUGCUAUCGGGAAUCGAGGUGAAAGGCCUUUUCUAGAAGAGGACUCAGAGCAGGGAUCGUUGGAAGCAAUACCUAGCAGCAAUACCUAGGUAGGGUCCAGGAAGACAUCCUGGAGGAAGUGACAUCAGACUUGAACCACAGAUGGGAAUGAUCCGAGCUUAGGAAGGCAAAGGUCAAGGCGUUACAAAAGCAUGCCUAGACUUCUGAGUGUGGAGAAUUGUUAAGUGAUGAUAGUACUCAUCUUCUUUUCAGGAACACAAUAGAAAUUUCGCAUGCAUGCUAGCAUUGAAGCCUGACAAUGACCACAUUGUCCCCAUUCCACGUGGCAAAGAGAAUAAAAAGACCAGGAGAGCCUACCCAGUCUGUAGGAUUGCACGGUUGGUAAUGGAAAGCUGGCUGAUGGGCAUUGUGAUGAGCAUGGUGAGAUGAGGGUCUCAGAAAGCAGUGGAGUUCAUAGAUCUGUGGAUCCCACAAGAGGGAAGGCGUCUGGCCAGCCCACUAGCCAUCCAGCUGUUCCAGAUGCAAGAUGUGCCAGCAAAGCCACAUGGAUGUUCCAACCCUCAGACAAACAAGGUCUCAGGAAUGAUCUAACCUGAUACCAUGUGGAAGAGCCUAACCCAGCCACCCGCAAAGACUCAUGGAAGAACCACAGUUGCUUCUUCUGUGGCUUUGGAUAACUGAAGCAUCUCACCAGCACAGACUUCCUUCCAGACCCUGGAAAGACUCACCCCUCCUGCCUCUUUGGUUCCGUUGACCGAACAAUGCCAACCAGGGUUGAUCUACAGACUCGGCUGCCAUUCACGAUGCCCUUGCUCUCCUAACCCUUAUGUACAUCUGAGGCUGAAUCCCCUGUCUCUUCUCCAGCUAUGUCCCAUUGCUCAUCACAGACGGAGAUCCCUGAGUCAAAUAUAUCUUUGCUUUUCUCUAUACGCGAAGCACGCUUGGUUUUGAUGUCAUUUGUCAGUUGGUCUAGCUAUUAGGUUAAAUGGCCAAAUCAGACCCGACUGCUAAUUUGUUGCAAGUGGCACUCCAGUGAGUGGCUUUUAUCAGUGGGGUAAUUCAAUUUCCUUUUUUAUAUUUUGUUGCUAGCCGCCAAGAGAGGUUGGUCUAGCUGGGUAGAGAAGGCUUUUCCCACUGCCGCUGUACUGGUGCUUGCUCCAUGGAGGUCCCUGGGCAAGGGGCAACCCAGAGACUUCAGAGCAUUGCCUAGCCCCAUGUCACCGUCUUCUAAGACGGCUGUACCUUGUCACACAUGCUGUGCCUUGGCUAAUCAUGUGUUGUCAUAUAAAUCAAUUACAAAAUGAUUAAUGUCAAUUUUCCUCUCAUCACAGAUGGCAGAAGGACCGAGGACCUGGGGAGAAGACAGGAGGAGACUGGGGAGGGGGGGAGGGGGAAGGAACUGCUGCCUCUUUCCCAUGGAGAGAGAAAUGCCACAGGAUCCGGGCACUCCCUACAUCUCUCCACCUUCCGCCACCCCGUGAGCCUCUGCAGGGAGAUUUUUCUGAAUAAUGGGCCAUUUUCCUGUUUUAAUCAGAUGCAAUUUUGCAAGCAGUUUUUAUGAUUUAGCAAGUCCAUUAAAACUGGCGUUUGUUCUGCUCUGACACUCGAAAGGGGCUCUGCAGAGCAUAAACAUUGGAAAUUACUUAUAGGGAGAGACAAUAUUAAAAUUCCCCAGCCCAAGCCUGUUGUCUGAGAGAUUCUGCUAUCAAGCAUCAUGCCAGCUAUCAUCAGAGGCACUGGAGAUAUAUACUGCCUCCUCUUUAUACACUGGCUGGGGGCUCAGCAACUCAGGCAGCAAUAAAGAGGCUGCUGCUUUCCUUCAACACUUUAGGCAUCCGGAGAGGAAUGGGUCUUAAAGGGAACUUGCGGGAAGAGCAGGUCGCAAGUACAGGCUGGAGAGGAGAAGGGCCAGUGAGCAUGCCUUUAAGAGCCACUGUGGAAACUGCUUUCCGGCCCACAGUGAACAAUAGGGUCUAUUGGUCCAUAAUUAAGGAGGUUGUUUUUUGUCAAUUUCAUUUGUAGUCAAUUCUCAAUUAUCCAUGUACUAACAGAUGACCUGUUCAAAUAAAAAAAC